CCCCUCAGCUUCCUCACUGGUUUCCCUGCUUCCCCAACUCUUCUCCUCUCACCCCACCCCCCAUGCCAUCCUCCUCCAUGAUUUCUCUAAAGUGGUGUACAAAGGGAAGGAGGGCUUUGGACUGGACCCCCAGCUGCAGUCCCUGCGGCCAUGGGUACACAGGACGGGACUCCCACUUUACACAGAGGACUCUGGUCCUGGAUCAUUCGGGAAUAUGACUUCACGACUGUAUGUGGCUUACACCCCUGAUGAGGUAUCCGUCCUCCACAAUCCCUCAGCAGCGGCUGCCUGGCACACAAGGUUCAAUGGAUAUAGAAGUUCCUGUUAAUGCUGCAGUGUCUCUUGCUCCAUCCACACAUUGUCUGAGACUCUAAUGAAACCUAAUGUUAAUUUGUAAAACAAACAAACAGAAGAAGCAGUAGGGAGCAGUAGACACUGAUGUCAGAACUCCUGCAGUGGCAGGGUCUUCAGUGCUGAGAGAACAGGAUGGCAUUGGAGGCUCAGCUUGGCAGCUCACACGGUCUGGCCACCACCGAUGCUAAGACUCUAGAAGAAGUGGAGGAGAGCCAAAGGAUGUCUGGGGCCCAGAAAGAGGACAGCCCCCAAAAGGCAUAGCUGUCACACCAGCAUUGAACGAAUCACCAGAGCUCAACAAUGGACUUUAGCCAGAAGAACAAGAGCAGAGUCUAUAUGCCAAUGCCUAGUCACUUGGGUGACCAGCAGGAGGAGGUUACCGCCUCAUUCCAUCAACUGGUCAACUGGCUCAAGGGAGCCUGUGAAGGAGGAGGUGGCACCAAUGGGGUAAGAACCUCCCCGCAGAGUCAGGAUAGGCAUAGUGGAGGGAGGUCUCAUAUGCAGCAGCCUCCCAGCAAUGCCGCCCAACCAAUGCCACCCAACAGGCUGGCAUCGGGACAUGGAAGACAGAACAUGGAGACAUUGGAAGCAACUUAAAUGUUCAUCGACGGAUGAAUAGAUAAAGAUGUGGUGUGUGUGUGUGUGUGUGUGUAUAUAUAUAUAUAUAUAAAAUGGAAUACUACUCAACCAUAAAAAAGAACAAAAUAAUGCCAUUUGCAGCAACACGGAUGAAAUUAGAGAUUAUCAUACUAAGUGAAGUAAGUUAGAAAAAGAAAGACAAAUAUUAUAUCACUUAUAUGUAGAAUCUAAAAUAUGACACAAAUGAACUUACAAAAUAGAAACAGA